GUGAAUAUGGUCUGUCUCUGGAAAGAAUCAAGACAAAUAUUAGUAUUUUUGGAUGACAGUAACUGAAAUUCUAGAGAGUAACACAGCAGGUAAGAGGAGAUUGUGUGUUUAUUUCCUGCAGGAAAAGAUCCAGUAGGAAGAGGUGAGGAAGAGGAGGGACAUGUUCCUGGACAGAAAACAGGCAACAUGGUUGCUGAGGAAGUAAAGCCUGAAGUCAGGGGACUGUCCUACAGGAGUCUCCAUCUCCCCUCCCCGAUUCUUCUUGGAUUGAUAUUUCCUACUCACGUUCCCCACGUCUUCUACACUGUUCUGUGUAGAGCCC
rnacentral:lncRNA from 1 species